rnacentral:rRNA from 1 species
UACGGAGGGUGCAAGCAUUAAUCGGAUUUAUUGGGCGUAAAGGGCGCGUAGGCGGGAAAAUAAGUCAGAUGUGAAAUCCUGGAGCUCAACUCCAGAACAGCAUUUGAAACUGUUUUUCUUGAGGGUAGACGGAGAAAAUGGAAUUCCACAAGUAGCGGUGAAAUGCGUAGAUAUGUGGAAGAACACCAGUGGCGAAGGCGGUUUUCUAGUUUACUCCUGACGCUGAGGCGCGAAAGCAAGGGGAUCAAACAGG